UUCAAAUGCACAAAGAUUGUACGACUGUUCUGAUGGUGAAUACUGUCCUGUGUGGCCACACAGGUGUAGUUGUCAGUCUUGGUCACAGCAAUAUGGAGGACAACGUCAUAUUUCUUUUUUUCUCUUUCUGUAACCUUUGGUUCAUAAGCUGGAAGGAUCUUUCCAUCACUGUCCGUCCAGACAACUUCAGGUUUUGGAAAAGCACCCAGAACUUCACACUGAAGCAGCGCUGAGUCCUUAGUUUGAUCAAGUAUUGUGACAUAAUGCUCUGGAGACUCACCUUCUAUCUCUGGUCUGGGUUUUAA